rfam:Zygosaccharomyces rouxii strain CBS732 chromosome C complete sequence.
UCCUCGUUAGCUCAGUUGGUAGAGCGUUCGGCUUUUAAGCAAGAACGAGGAACCGAAAUGUCAGGGGUUCGAGCCCCCUACGAGGAG